GUGGGGAAUCUUCCACAAUGGACGAAAGUCUGAUGGAGCAACGCCGCGUGAGUGAAGAAGGGUUUCGGCUCGUAAAGCUCUGUUGUCGGGGACGAAUGUGCAGUAUUUGAAUAAAGUACUGUAAUGACGGUACCUGACGAGGAAGCCACGGCUAACUACGUGCCAGCAGCCGCGGUAAUACGUAGGUGGCAAGCGUUGUCCGGAAUUAUUGGGCGUAAAGGGAGCGCAGGCGGGAAGGUAAGUCGGUCUUAAAAGUGCGGGUCUCAACCCCGUGAUGGGAUAGAAUCUAUCUUUCUUGAGUGCAGGAGAGGAAAGUGGAAUUCCUAGUGUAACGGUGAAAUGCGUAGAUAUUAGGAGGAACACCAGUGGCGAAGGCGACUUUCUGGACUGUAACUGACGCUGAGGCUCGAAAGCCAGGGGAGCGAACGGGAUUAGAAACCCUUGUAGUCC
rnacentral:rRNA from 1 species